CUUUUUUUGAGUUUUGGUGUGUUGCAUUUUUCCAAAAGGGUUUGUCCUGCAAAUUCAAAAUUAUUUGGAUUUAUUUUAUUGUAUUUAGUAACGAUACCUUACAGUGUUCCAAGAUGAAUAUAAUGGAAUGAAAAGCCAAUGUAAGUCAUUGCUGAUGAUUCUGUACAACGUAGGAGAAGGUUUCAGGAGAGCAACCUGUUUGAAUUCCACCAACAAAGGUUUCAGAAGAUGAACUGCAAUUGCAUAGUGUGGGGAUUCUUUUGGCUCAUUGUGCUGUUCUUUCUCGGCUGGCCCAUAAGCAUAGCCUUGUGUGCCCUCCAUGGAUUCCUUUCUCCUCUUGCUACUUUAAUUGGACUGGAUGAAUUAAGUGAAGCGCUACUGAAGGGCGCAAGUCUGGGGAGGCAGUGUGCUCAGAAUGUGCGUAAUGGCAAGCCCCUCUGUUAAGCAAUGAAGACAGCCCUGCAUAAAGCAAGCGUUCACCUGUAUGCUAGAAGAUUUCAAAGUUUACUCUGUGAAUCUUACAUUUUUUUCCAGUUCUAAAUAAUUUACUAUUUUUAAAAAAGUUUUUCAGUGUGUAUAUUUCUCUUGUGGAUGUCUGGAAACUUUAACAGUUCAGAAGUUUGUCGCUGAGAAUUUACAAUACAGGUUGCAGCUGUUGUUUUGAAAAUGGGUAAUGACACUGUACAUGGAGAAGGUAGCUAAGUAUGUAUUGCAAGAUUGAGCUGAGUGUCAAAGCUGCUUAAAUGGUUGAAAAUACUGCCCUAAGGAGUGUAAUGCACCUUAUGAGUCUGACUAUGACACUUGAAAAGAGUGGAUUCUGAACAGGAAAUUUAUUUUUGUGAAUAUUUUAUUCUACAGUGCACUUUGUUUGACAAAAGAUGUGAAAUUCUUAUCUGAUGUUUGUAUAGCAUGUAUCUUUUCAUUUUUAUGUGUUUCUGUUCUUUCUUUCCUUUAAAAAAGAAAUUAUAGUCAUUUGUACUAUGAUCUCACUUAGUAUUAAUCUCCUGUGAACAGUGGGUUUUCAGUGAAACAAGUUUGCUGAUGUGGGUUCACUGCACUGAUUUUCAAACAUUAGAUAAAUAAAGAACAUCUGUAAAUGUAC
ensembl:lncRNA